rnacentral:rRNA from 1 species
AAUGAACGCUGGCGGCAUGCCUAAUACAUGCAAGUCGAACGAGACCAUCGGGACCUGUGGCGUCCGGGUGUGUCACGCGUGGGAACCUGCACAUAGGUUUGGAAUACCUCUCCGACAGGGGUGCCAUCACCGGACAAUGUCUUCGGCCCAAAGAUUUAUUGCACUUGGAUGGGCCGUCGUUGGAUUAGCUAGUUCGUACGGUAAUAGCCUACUAAGGCGAGGAUCGAUAGCUUGUCUGUGAGGAUGAUCAGCGACACUGGGAGUGGGACGCGGCCCGGACUCCUACGGAAGGCGGCAAAGGGUGAUAUAGGACAGUGGGCGGAGGGCUGAAGCAGCUAGGCCGGGUAAGUGAUGAAGGCCGUAAAGUUGUAAAGCUCUUUUACCCAGGAUGGUAAUGACGGUACCGGAAGAAUAAGCUCCGGCUAACUCCGUG